CGAGAAAUUCCCCUAUUGAAAAGCGUCGCUGACUAGUAAAAGAUUGUACGCGGGCGCAGAACGAGUUUUCAUUCAGCAAAAUCGAGCCGCAAUGUUGUUUUUACUGUUUUGUUUUUGUCAACUUUUCGAUUUAUUUGAGUGCUAUGGACAGCCAAGGAUUAUUGUCAAGCAUUAAAUCGAUGAAAACAAGGUUGAAGCUAAUUGAAUCCUGCCGUUUACUCAAUCUAUGAGCUGUAACAUCCUAUUAACAGGUGGACGUGUUUUUUUGUUUCAUGUUUGGUUUUGUACUUUUUGCUAAAAAUGAACAAUUAGGGUAUGAAACUGAAAUAUUUUUCUGUUUACAUGUAAUCACUUUAAUCUUGUAGAAACACGACUAAAAACGUGAACGUUUUCUUGAGAAGUAAACAACUUUCUAAACGUUUGUAUGCAAUUUUGCAAAUGUUUUAAUACAGUUGAGUCAGCGGACAGUGUAUAAAAAAAUUUAAAAAUAUUGUUUCGUAGCUAUUUUUUGGUCUACUGAUACUCGUAUCAUAUGUAGAAUUGCUGUAUAGACUCGCAAGUGAUUUCGCACUCAAAACGAAGUAUUAUUCAACGCUUUUUUCCAUUGUCAAUUUUUGUUUUGUUUUGAUCAUGCAGUUGCGUGGGAUAGUUCACGUACUUGUCCCGCAAACAUCCCGCAUGGAACUGUAGGGAGCCUCCUUAAGUUUUAAGUUUACACGGUGGAUAGGCAAAAUUUAACCGGUGGAUAACGCUAAUUUUAUCCGGCGGAUAGCGAGUUAAACGGUGGAUAGCGACUUAAACGCCUUUCGUACAACCGGCCCAUGGUGCUUACCAGGAAAUUAAGCUAAACUCAGGUUCUUAAAUAGAUUCCUAUUUUAUAAAUGUAUAAAACAGCUGGUUCUUAUAAUAUAGCCAUGAAUGUAAUAAAAAAAUCAUUUGAAUUUAUAGCUCAACCUCUUACCCAAAUUAUCAAUCUUUCGCUUUCAAUUGGCAUUCACCCUGAUUUACUAAAAAUAGCUAAGGUAAUUCCUGUAUUUAAGACCGAUAAUCCUGAAAAUUUUACAAAUUAAGACCAAUCUCGCUAUCAAUUGAAAAUUUUUGAAAAAGUCAUGCAUAUAAUCGAUUGCAUUAUUGAUUUCGUGAAUCAAUUCGAAAUUCUCUCUCCUCUCCAAUAUGGAUUUCGAAAAAA